GUUAGAAAGCUGAGGCACACAGAGAGGGCAAGUAACAGGCCUGAAGUUACACUGCUGGUGAGUCACAGAGCCAUGCUUCAAACCUAGCCUCCUGGCUUCCGAGCCCAGCACUUGGCCACGGCGCUGUGUAGGCUGGCUGGGGCUUGAGUGCUUCCUGGAUGUUUAUGGAAUAUUUUCAAGAGAAAUAUUUUCCUGAGAGCCGACGCCUCCUCUGAAACCCUGCAGCCUUCUCAGCAGGAAACAAUCAGCUUGGCCUUGCCUGCAAAACUCAACACUGAACACCUGAAGGAAAAAAAAAUCCCAUUGGCAAAGCUUGCUUUUAACCGUGGGAGACACCAAGCAACGUUGCCAGUUUCCCGGGGGCCCAAUACCUUUCUGACUUUGCAAUAACUCCCAAGUUAAACAAAUUGCCAAAGAGUUAUAAGCCUCUUAUUAGUUGGAUGGCUUCCCCCAAUUGCUCUGCUGGCUGCAUUUUCCCUGCACACACAUUGGUGAGUUCUGCCGACUAUUCGUGUGCCUGCAAGUUGAGGAGCUCUGGCAUUUCUGUGAUCUACAGUCUCCAAUCUCCACUCCCUCUUGCCUUCACUUUGAACUGAAGUGCUGUCUUAAGCAACCCCACUACCCACCACCUAACAAGCCAGGACGUGAGUCUUCAUGACUGUUACAACACUUGAACCUGAUUCCAGGCUAACCAGUAACACCAGUAUUCAAACUGCAGUGUGAGGAACACCGCAACAAGCUGAAGAAAUGGCCUGUACCGAUUUCCUAAUGGUCAGAGGAUGAAGUGCGGCACAGCAACAGCUGGAAACACAGGUUACAGAAGGCUUAGACAAGAGAGGCAUUGGAGAAUACCGUGAAAAUCUAAAAUAGAGAGCUAGCAUUCGUUUAUGGCCUUCAGUUUACAUGGCAGAAGCCAAAAUGGAGAGCUGGGAGAGAUCAGUUUCACCUGGGUAAAGACCAAUCGGAUGCUUUGGGAUAAAAAUCCACUUUAGAAAUUAAAUUAUCCAUUUCAGUUUACCGCCCUAAUUCAUAAGUCAAUGUCCAACUCUAUUUGAUUUUGUAUUGAACAAAAUUUAGCUGUUAUACCAACUUCUGUUUCUGCAUGAAUUUACAUAUAACAUAAGAUCUCUGUGGACUGGGUGUGGUGACUUGCAUCUGUAAUCCCAGCACUUUGGGAGGCUAAGGUUGCAGGGUCACUUCAGCCAGGGAGUUUGAGACCAGACUAGGCAAUAUAGUGAGACCUCGUCUCUACAAAAAAUUUAAAAAACAAACCAAAAACAGCCAAAUGUGGUGGUGCACGUCUAUAGUCCCAGCUACUCUGGAGGCUGAGGUGAGAGGAUUGCUUGAGCCCAGGGGGUCAGAGGCUGCAGUGAGCUGGGAUCACACCACUGCACACCAGCCUGGGAAACAGAGGAAGAUUCUGUCAAAAAGAAAACAAAACUGUAUGAUGAUUAUACAACGUGAAAUGAAGCAAUUCCAUCAAAAUUUAUUCCUCAAUAAGAGCUCCUUGAAAAGAAUUAUAAGCUAAGUUUUCUGUUUUGUUUUUCUUUGAAAAGUGCAAAUUUCUAUAGUACACUGGUUCCACUAUUUUCUUGGAGUAUGAUAAGGUUUAUGCCAAGAGAUCACAUUAGUUUCUGUACACUGUUUCUAUUGAUUCAAGGCUCCUACCUAAGAUUAGAAGAAACAAUCAUUUUAUUAACUGCAGUCAAAGGGUUAUGGAGAAAAUCUGUGUCCGCCGGAUAUACAUAAUUCCAUCUUUCCUUCUUAGCACUCUUAUCUUAUUUCAUCUAGAGAUUUUCCCUAGAUGAAAUAAGGUGGAAAAUCAAUAAGAUCUUCAGAGGGUGGGGAGAGGAGUGGAAGGACAGAAGAGGAGGAGAGAAAGGGGAGAGGCCGGGCUCCCACAAAAGUGUGCAAAAGCAACCAAUUCCCCAUGAGCUUCUCUGACGUGCAGAACCUCAAUCUGAAAUAGAGAGUGGAGUCAGAUGGAAAUUGAACACGUUCAUGACUCAGAUUCUUCCUGAGCACCUCUCUGUCGUUGUCCUAAAAAGCAUUACAAUUUGGUGAAAGAGGGCAGUUCCUCUAGGAUGGCCAUCUAUCUUCUGAGUCCUUAUUUCUGCUACUUCAAGAAGACAAAAAUGAAUGAGUGGUCUGCUUGGAGUCUAUCCAUAGCAGAGAGGCCUUUUCCAGUUUGCUCUUUUCUAAUUCUUUUUAGUCACUUGAUUUUGUUAGGAAAUCAAAUCUACAGGUUCAUUUCAACCUGCAGAUUCAAGGUCUUCUGGAGGCUUCAUGCAUUUAUACUUCCAAAUCCAAAAAGAGAUCUUGAUAAAGC
rnacentral:lncRNA from 10 species